ACUCCUACGGGAGGCAGCAGUGGGAAUCUUGCGCAAUGGGCGAAAGCCUGACGCAGCGAUGCCGCGUGCGGGAUGAAGGCCUUCGGGUUGUAAACCGCUUUCAGCAGGGACGAAAUUGACGGUACCUGCAGAAGAAGCCCCGGCCAACUACGUGCCAGCAGCCGCGGUAAUACGUAGGGGCGGAGCGUUGUCCGGAGUUUAUUGGGCGUAAAGAGCUCGUAGGCGGUUCGGUAAGUCGGAUGUGAAAUCUCCACGCUCAACGUGGAGAGGCCAUUCGAUACUGCCGUGACUCGAGUCCGGUAGGGGAGUGUGGAAUUCCCGGUGUAGCGGUGAAAUGCGCAGAGAUCGGGAGGAACACCCGUAGCGAAGGCGGCACUCUGGGCCGGUACUGACGCUGAGGAGCGAAAGCGUGGGGAGCAAACAGGAUUAGAUACCCUGGUAGGCUCUGCU
rnacentral:rRNA from 1 species